CCUCAUUUUAUUCCCCUCCCAAUUUUCCCAAAAAUUCCCCCAAAUCAAGAACCCUAGUCUGCUGCACUCCACGACCCAAACCUUCCCCAAAUCUGCUGCAUUGUCGUAGACCAUCCCUUCUGCCGUCGCUCGUCUCUACUUCUUUAAGCGUAAUCUAAAUUCAAGAUCAAGCCUUUUGAAAAUUGGCAAGGUAAAGUUCAUCUUUUUGGGAGUAUUGAGUUAAGAGCAAGAGAAAAUGGGGGAUAAAAAUGAAGUCUUGGAGGCUGUAUUGAAGGAAACUGUGGAUUUGGCACUAAAAGAAUCAGUCAUUGAAAUCUUUAACUGCAAAGAGGGCGAAUUUGCAUACCCUUGGGUUGAGAAAGUCAUCGUGGGAUAGGUCUGACAUGAGAGUUUAAGUUGUGUUACUCUAUUUAUUUAACUAUUAUCCAUUCUUAUUGUCAUAUUAAUUAUUUAACUAUCUUUCUUUUUCUUGAUUUGUUAUGCCGGUAUCAUUAUAUUUUGAUGAUGUAGUUUUCCCUACACAUAACUAACUUCUUGGAAUAACUUAUUUUCUGGGAUGUGACUCCCAAUAAGGAGAAUUACUAGCAAGCUGAUAGUGUUUAGCAUACCUCGAAUGAAUUCAAGUUAUUGAAUAUCUAGUAUAGUUACUUUUGUCUUACUGAGAUAGCAUUUACUCAAACAUAUUUGAUUCACAAGAGGCCUUAAAGCCAAUGUUAAAGCAUAAUGCUAUCUUUUGCAAACCCUGCUUACCACCCUCUAAAAAUGACAAAUAAUUAAUAAAUUGAUAAAAACAAAAAUAAAAAUAGUCUUACAUCAUCAAUCCCUUGUAGUCUAGUUGGUUAGGAUACUCGGCUCUCACCCGAGAGACCUGGGUUCAAGUUCCGGCAAUGUUUUGCUUAUUUUGUUCUUUUUCCCCAUUUUGCUUGCUUUUAUUUUUGUUUGUUUGUUUUUUUUUCUCAUUUUGCUUGCUUACUCUGUUACUGGUAUGGGUUUUUGUUA